rnacentral:rRNA from 1 species
GACGAACGCUGGCGGCGUGCUUAACACAUGCAAGUCGAGCGGUAAGGCCCUUUCGGGGGUACACGAGCGGCGAACGGAUGAGUAACACGUGGGUGACCUGCCCUCAGCUCUGGGAUAAGCCUGGGAAACCGGGUCUAAUACUGGAUAUGACUCCAUGACGCAUGUUGUGGGGUGGAAAGCCUUGUGCGGCUGAGGAUGGGCCCGCGGCCUAUCAGCUUGUUGGUGGGGUGAUGGCCUACCAAGGCGACGACGGGUAGCCGGCCUGAGAGGGCGACCGGCCACACUGGGACUGAGACACGGCCCAGACUCCUACGGGAGGCAGCAGUGGGGAAUCUUGCGCAAUGGGCGAAAGCCUGACGCAGCGACGCCGCGUGAGGGAUGACGGCCU